rnacentral:lncRNA from 13 species
CGGGUACUCUUUUAGUUAAUUUUUUAUAUAACAAUUUGCUUCUCAAUGCAAAUGAAUCAAUCCAUGGACAACAGUAUCCAAUGAACCCUGACAUUUUCUAAGUUCUUGUUCAGUCCAGAGCAAUAGCAAGGACACAAUUCCUUCAACCCGUUCAGGUCCUAUUCUUCUACCUGCACUGAUUAACUGGCCUAAGUAUCUAACUGUAGGUUCUACAUAUUGAAGUUUUCCCUUUGAGACCCGCAGCCCUUCAGAAUGUAAAUGGUUUAGAAUGUGUCUAGAAAACUCAGUUACUUUUUCUAUAUCUUCCCCAGAUAUAAGAAUAUCAUCCAUGAAUUUAAGCGGGCGUAGCUACUUUGGAACAACAGCCUUCUCUGUUAUUUUCUCUAAAGCAUGACUAAAAAGAUUUGGUGAAUCUGUAAAUCCUUGAGGCAAAACUGUCCAUCUGUAUUGUUGCUGUUGUCUGGUAUGAGGCUCCUCCCAUUCAAAAGCGACUAUCCCUCAGGUGUCUUCAGCCAAAGGGCAUGCCCAGAAAGUAUCUUUUAAACCUAUGACAAACCAUUUUUGACUGUAGGGAGUCUUACUAACAAUAGUGUAUGGGUUUGGCAUAAGAGGGUGAGUGGUUUGGACUAUUCAUUUAUAGCUCUAAGGUUUUGCACUAAUCAAUAUGGCCCAUCUGGGUUUUUGACAGGUAAAAUGGGAGUGUUAUAUGGAGACAUACAGCUUCGAGAAGCCCAUCCUUGGAAUUCCCCAGAAUCAUUCCAUCCUUGCCCUGUCCUGUCUUCCCGUUGUGAUGUUUUUUUUCUGCUGUUAAAGAGAGCUGAAGGUACUAGACUAUGCAGAGAAUAAAUAGGCCCCCAGACUUUCCUGGCGGGGUCCCCGGGUCAAUGCUCUUCAGAAGCACUGGCUGAUUCUGACCUUUGCGGCCUCUUCUCCUACAACACCAGUGCUCUUAGCGGCUCAUGUUUGUCAAGACAACAAUGUUGACUUUGGAACCUGUGAUCUCUGGUCACAUACUACUCUGCAGACCAGCCAUCUGAACUUGGAAGCACAGCUGGACUGGAAGAAAACUGCUGGAGACUUUACUUAUCUUCAGUAUGUAUAAUGAAUAGGAGAUAUAAAGAUGUUGUCUAAGUUAAAUUAGUUUUGUUCUAUUUCUUGAAUAUACUGUCUGCUGAGCUUCUGGACUGGGCUGCCUUUCAGUCUCCAUUAACUUGUGGCUGCUUUCCUAGAGAAGCUGGGAGCCCUUUGGGCUUUGCCAGGGCAGGAGCUUCUCAGAGUGCUUUCAAAAUGUGGUGCUUACCCAGUGCUAAGAUCUAGAAUAGAUGCACCCAGUACACUUCCACUUUCCUGUCCCCACAGCCUAAAGCAGGGGAUGACAGAGUUUAGGAUGGAAGGUUGGGCCUCAGAAAGUUCUCUUCUUCUUAGCAAGUAAGGAGUGAUGUAACCAUUCAAUCAUUUACAGGGUAUGACUCAGUGCAGGAAGUUGUGACUCCUCCCUCCAGGUGCUUCUCACCCCAGGCCCUUUGAGCAGCCUGCUAUUAUUCAGGGUAAUAAGCAGCACCAUGUUCCCCAGUUCCACCAGGUUUCAAACAUCCGAAUGAUCGAC